GACUGGAAGACCAAAGGGAGACCGAUGAGAGGACUAUGAGGAAACCAUGAGAAGAAGAGAUAGUGUAGGAGAUACCACAAAUUUGAAAGUGCAGAGAUUAUUAUAUUCUAAAGUGUACAACAAUAUACCAUAACUUGGACAAUACUUAUGUGAAAAAGACCAACUUUGUGAUGAAGAGCAUCCUGGAAUCACUGAGGACACUCUACUAGUACCCAGUUGGAAUAAAAAAUCCAUUCUGUGUUUUUCCUCUCA
rnacentral:lncRNA from 1 species